rnacentral:rRNA from 1 species
ACUCAAAUGAAUUGACGGGGACCCGCACAAGCGGUGGAUGAUGUGGAUUAAUUCGAUGCAACGCGAAAAACCUUACCUACCCUUGACAUGGAUCAAAGCUACCAGAGAUGGUAGUGUGCUCGCAAGAGAAUGGUCACACAGGUGCUGCAUGGCUGUCGUCAGCUCGUGUCGUGAGAUGUUGGGUUAAGUCCCGCAACGAGCGCAACCCUUAUCAUUAAUUGCCAGCAUGUAGAGGUGGGCACUUUAAUGAGACUGCCGGUGACAAACCGGAGGAAGGUGGGGAUGACGUCAAGUCCUCAUGGCCCUUAUGGGUAGGGCUUCACACGUCAUACAAUGGUGCAUACAGAGGGUUGCCAAACCGCGAGGUGGAGCUAAUCUCAGAAAGUGCAUCGUAGUCCGGAUUGGAGUCUGCAACUCGACUCCAUGAAGUUGGAAUCGCUAGUAAUCGCGGAUCAGCACGUCGCGGUGAAUACGUUCCCGGGUCUUGUACACACCGCCCGU